CGGUUACAUCUCUUUCUGACUUUCUUUCUCACUCGUCGUGUCGUGUCGAAUUGACAUAUUGAGAUGAUAUUUGAAGAAGAGAUUUAUCAGCAUGUCGAUUUUUUAAGGUUUUUUCAUGGGUAGUUGAUGGCUGAUGUGCUGGCCACAUGGUCUGAUUCAUUGAUUAUGGUCGACAAGGAUGAGGAGUGUGAAAUGAAUAAUGAUGCUGUCUUGGUAUUGCAUCCACAUGGUGUAUGCCGAGUUCUUCUAGCAGGUAUUGAUUGGUUAUUAUCAUUCAUAAGCUGAUGUGCAUUCAAAUAUCAUUUGUGGGUCCCCUGUGAUGAUAUGGGCUCUCCCUGUCUUGGCUUACGGUAAUCCUGCAUUUGGGAGUUACACACGGAGUACUUGAAUUACUUACUGGAACCCUCGGGAAGGUCUGAGACGAGGCUUUUCUCAUUGUCGGAGAGUGAUGCUCUAGCCGGGCAGCCUUUUCGCGAAGGCGCAGGGGAAUAGAAAGAAUAUCGAUUGGAGUGUCGUUUAGUCCCAUGAUGUCCAUUUGGAUUAGGCGAAGACUUCCAUUUCGAUUGGAACUGCUUCUGUAGCUUGCUAUUUUGAGUAUAAUUUGCGGGUUGUGGUUUGCCCUUUUACGGGCUGACUGCAAAACUCAAUUCAGACUAAUCUGCCGAAAGCCAAUUGAUGGGAUUGUUGCUCUGUUUCUGAGGGGCUUGCAUAUUCAGUUUUUAAGUUAUUUGCUAUUUUACGAAC